GGUUAUGGCUCAGUGGUAGAGUGCUUGCCUAGCACAUGUGAAGCCCUGGGUUCGAUUCUCAGCACCA
rnacentral:tRNA from 1 species